CUGGAGAUGAAUGAAGUCUUGGUUCUUCGCAAGGUAGUGAGUUGGAACCAAGAGGCCUACAGAAACGGAGAGCUUGCAAAAGACUACCCCUACUGAAAGAAAGGACUAGAAAUAAAUCCGGCCCAGCGACAGGAGACAACAAGGAGGCAGGUGCGUCUUGCUCCUUCUGCCAUUGCUCCAGGACCAGGCAUCCCAAAACUCUCUGUUCUCCACCAUUAGACAAUCAAUGGCCUUGUCUUGCCUCUUACGCAGGAAACCAAAACCAAAAUAUAAUAUUAUUUAUCUGCUAUUACUGCUCCACACUCCUCCAGGAUGUAUCUCUAAUUAUAAUCAGAAUGACUUCCUCACAGCCAACUGAGCAGACUCUUCCUACACUAGAAACGCUCUGAGAUCACGCCACCCAGAGAAGUCCCGAAAACAUUUUCCACGUCAAACGCUUUGUUUUAAGCUGUGUUUAUAGGAACCAAGAGGGAACGUUACCAGAUGGCCAAACUGCACAACCGGUCCAAACUAAGAUGGUGAUGGGGUGCCGUGGACCAGAGGAAACAUAUGCAAAACGUGCCGUGCGCCAGAAAGAAAGAUCUGCGCAUUCCCCAAAUGCCCCUGCCCCGAGCGAUGACGCGGAGAGCCCUCCCCCUUCACGUCUCAUAAGAAUCCUGCUCACCUUCAGUUGAGGGGAGGAGGUGUUUUAGAGCAUGAGCUCCGCCUCCUCUGUUCCUUGACGGAUGAAUAAUGUUUCUGCUGUGCUAUUCCGACCUAGUCUUGUUCUAUUGGCGGCAGCGGAUCUGGACAAAAGGACCCACUUGCGGGUCACCGGUCCUUUAGGGCUGGGUACAGAGAACAUGAGUAUCUGUUCAGUGUCACAGCUCCAAUUUCAGGACGUGGCUAAUAAUUUUGUAUGCCAGUUCUCAGAAAUGGAAUUUGCUGAGGUUGGCCCUGUGGCCAAGUGGUUAAGUUCACGCACUCUGCUUCACCAGUUCCGAUCCUGGGCUCAGACCUACACACCACUCAUCAAGCCAUGCUGAGGAGGCAUCCCACAUAGAAGAACUAGAAGGACCUGCAACUAGGAUAUACAGCUAUGUACUGGGGUUUUAGGGAGAAAAAAAAAAGAAGAAGAAGAUUGACAACAGAUGUUAGCUCAAGGCCAAUCUUCCUCACCAAAAAAAAAAAGAAGAAGAAGAAACAGAAUUUGCUUUUAUAACCAAAUCUGCAGUGGAAUAAGGCUUUUUCUUUUCUCUAAUUUAGAAGAUAUGAGGACUCCGUAAGACUCGACUACUUGGGGAAGAUUCUCCCUACUUUCACCCUCUUCCAAAUGAGCAGGAGAGAAGAAACAGCAGCUUCAAUGCAGAAAGGAGGGGGCCAGGAGAUGGGGGAGCCCAGCUGCCUUCAUGGGCAUGUACCCUGUGCAGUUUCAUGGAAAGGCUAUGGCCUGCUUUAAUUCUCUGCUGUUGUUGUCUUGAAAUUCUUCAUAAUUUUUCAACAAAUGGUCCCACAUCUUUAUUUUGCUCUGAGCCCCUUGAAUUAUGUCGCUGGUCUUGUUGGGGAGAAUCUUUGAAGAGAGCCUGUGACCCUUCCACGGUCUGACCUGGUGUGUGUUGGCUGACUUGAGCACUGACCAAGGUCAUAUUUGGUCAGAGAUCUUGACCCAGAUGCCACAGACAGAGAAAAAUUUGAUGCUACUAAACUGUGUGGCAGCCAAAGAACAAAUUGAAGUGAUAAAUACAUAUUUUGUGAGUGAGCCUUUCUGAACUAAUAAAAUAUUUGAUUCAUUAUUCCUCCUCUGAAAC
rnacentral:lncRNA from 1 species